rnacentral:rRNA from 1 species
UACGAAGGGGGCUAGCGUUGUUCGGAAUCACUGGGCGUAAAGCGCGCGUAGGCGGCUUUGUAAGUUAGAGGUGAAAGCCCGGAGCUCAACUCCGGAACUGCCUUUAAAACUGCAUCGCUUGAAUCCAGGAGAGGUGAGUGGAAUUCCGAGUGUAGAGGUGAAAUUCGUAGAUAUUCGGAGGAACACCAGUGGCGAAGGCGGCGACCUGGGACAAUACUGACACUGAGGUGCGAAAGCGUGGGGAGCAAACAGG